GAGUAAACACAGCUCUUUAGAAUUUUUCUAGCAGGAUUUCUGACUUUGGUCAGAAAUAUAAA
ensembl:snRNA Gm24440 predicted gene, 24440